AUGGAACUAGGGAUGUUGGUAAACCUACAAGGAUUGUUAGAUCUAAGUGACAAUUCAUUUAGUAGCAUGAUACCAACUCAGUUGGGUGAUCUUACCAUGCUUGAAGCCUUGAAUCUUGCACAUAAUGCAUUAAGCGGCAGAAUUCCGCCAUCAUUUCAACGCAUGAACAGCCUCUUAUACAUGGAUGUGUCUUAUAACAAACUAGAAGGGCCCGUGCCACAAAGCAGGCUCUUCAAAGAAGCUCCAACCGAAUGGUUCGUGCAUAAUACACAUUUAUGCGGUGAUGGUGUGAAAAGUCUGUCCCCUUGUGACCACACGUCAAGUUAUCAAAAAGGAAGGAAGUCUAGAGCUAUUUUACUAGCUACAAUACCUGCCACUGUGACUUUUUUGCUCAUUACUGCACUAGCAACAUGGCAAUGUAAAAGGAAGAAAUCCAAGGCUGAAAGUGCAAAGGGACUGGAACAGGUCAAGAUGUUCGCCAUCUGGAACUUUGACGGGGAAGAUGUGUACAAGCAAAUUAUUGACGCCACAAAAGGAUUCAGCGAUGCUCACUGCAUUGGAACUGGAGGGAGUGGAUCUAUCUAUAGAGCCCAGUUACCAACAGGUGAAAUAUUUGCAGUGAAGAAGAUUCACACGAUGGAAGAUGACAAGCUAUUCCAUCGUGAAAUAGAUGCUUUGAUUCAUAUUCGGCAUCGCAACAUUGUGAAGUUAUUUGGCUACUGCUCUGCUGCUCAUCAGAGAUUUCUUGUGUAUGAAUAUAUGGAUAGGGGAAGCUUAGCAAAAUCUUUGCAGAGCAAGGAAACUGCAAUUGAGUUGGAUUGGGCAAGAAGAUUAAAUAUCACUAAGGAUGUUGCAAAUGCUCUGUCCUACAUGCAUCAUGAUUGCUUUGCACCGAUAGUCCAUAGAGAUGUAACUAGCAGCAACAUUUUGCUUGAUAUGGAUUUCAGUGCCUGUAUAUCAGAUUUUGAUCUAGCAAAAGUACUAGAUGGAGAUGCACCAAACUGUACAAGGCUUGCUGGGACGAACGGAUAUCUUGCCCCAGAGCUUGCGUACUCAACAAGGGUGACAGAGAAGUGUGAUGUCUAUAGCUUUGGAGUACUUGUGCUCGAGUUGUUCAUGGGACAUCAUCCAGGUGAUUUUCUUUCUUCCAUGGCCAACAGAAGUGCACCACUUGAGGAUUUGUUGGACAUCCGGCUCCCAUUCCCUGAAACUGAAAUAGCAAGUGAAAUAUUCAAAGUGAUCGUGUUUGCUGUUUGUUGCAUAGAACCAAAUCCAUCAUACCGUCCAACGAUGCAACAAGCAAUCAAGGCGUUCUCUACAACUGAAAGACCUGAUGAUCAGCUUGAUUAUCAGCAAACUGACAUUGUCAUCCCUUCCACCUAG
rnacentral:rRNA from 1 species